GACGAACGCUGGCGGCGUGCUUAACACAUGCAAGUCGAACGGAAAGGCCCCUUUGGGGGUACUCGAGUGGCGAACGGGUGAGUAACACGUGAGUAACCUGCCCUUGACUUCGGGAUAACUUCAGGAAACUGGGGCUAAUACCGGAUAGGAAUCCUUGCUGCAUGGUGGGGGUUGGAAAGCUUCGGCGGUUUUGGAUGGACUCGCGGCUUAUCAGCUUGUUGGUGGGGUAGUGGCUUACCAAGGCUUUGACGGGUAGCCGGCCUGAGAGGGCGACCGGCCACAUUGGGACUGAGAUACGGCCCAGACUCCUACGGGAGGCAGCAGUGGGGAAUAUUGCACAAUGGGCGGAAGCCUGAUGCAGCAACGCCGCGUGCGGGAUGACGGCCUUCGGGUUGGAAACCGCUUUCAGCAGGGGCGAAGCUUGCGGUGACGGUACCUGCAGAAGAAGCACCGGCUAACUACGUG
rnacentral:rRNA from 1 species